rnacentral:rRNA from 1 species
CCUACGGGAGGCAGCAGUGGGGAAUAUUGGACAAUGGGGGGAACCCUGAUCCAGCGACGCCGCGUGAGUGAAGAAGUCUUUCGGGAUGUAAAGCUCUGUCAGCAGGGAAGAAAGACAUGACGGUCCCUGACCAAGAAGCCCCGGCUAACUACGUGCCAGCAGCCGCCGUACUACGUAGGGGGCAAGCGUUAUCCGGAAUUACUGGGUGUAAAGGGAGCGUAGACGGGUAAGUAAGUCUGGAGUGAAAGGCCGGGGCCCAACCCCGGGAAUGACCUGGAAACUAUUGAACUUGAGUGCAGGAGAGGUAAGCGGAAUUCCUAGUGUAGCGGUGAAAUGCGUAGAUAUUAGGAGGAACACCAGUGGCGAAGGCGGCUUACUGGACUGUAACUGACGUUGAGGCUCGAAAGCGUGGGGAGCAAACAGGAUUAGAUACCCUAGUAGUC